GACGAACGCUGGCGGCGUGCUUAACACAUGCAAGUCGAACGGAAAGGCCCUGCUUUUGUGGGGUGCUCGAGUGGCGAACGGGUGAGUAACACGUGAGUAACCUGCCCUUGACUUUGGGAUAACUUCAGGAAACUGGGGCUAAUACCGGAUAGGAGCUCCUGCUGCAUGGUGGGGGUUGGAAAGUUUCGGCGGUUGGGGAUGGACUCGCGGCUUAUCAGCUUGUUGGUGGGGUAGUGGCUUACCAAGGCUUUGACGGGUAGCCGGCCUGAGAGGGUGACCGGCCACAUUGGGACUGAGAUACGGCCCAGACUCCUACGGGAGGCAGCAGUGGGGAAUAUUGCACAAUGGGCGGAAGCCUGAUGCAGCAACGCCGCGUGCGGGAUGACGGCCUUCGGGUUGUAAACCGCUUUCGCCUGUGACGAAGCGUGAGUGACGGUAAUGGGUAAAGAAGCACCGGCUAACUACGUGCCAGCAGCCGCGGUGAUACGUAGGGUGCGAGCGUUGUCCGGAUUUAUUGGGCGUAAAGGGCUCGUAGGUGGUUGAUCGCGUCGGAAGUGUAAUCUUGGGGCUUAACCCUGAGCGUGCUUUCGAUACGGGUUGACUUGAGGAAGGUAGGGGAGAAUGGAAUUCCUGGUGGAGCGGUGGAAUGCGCAGAUAUCAGGAGGAACACCAGUGGCGAAGGCGGUUCUCUGGGCCUUUCCUGACGCUGAGGAGCGAAAGCGUGGGGAGCGAACAGGCUUAGAUACCCGUGGUAGUCCACGCUGUAAACGGUGGGUACUAGGUGUGGGGUCCAUUCCACGGGUUCCGCGCCGUAGCUAACGCUUUAAGUACCCCGCCUGGGGAGUACGGCCGCAAGGCUAAAACUCAAAGGAAUUGACGGGGCCCCGCACAAGCGGCGGAGCAUGCGGAUUAAUUCGAUGCAACGCGUAGAACCUUACCUGGGUUUGACAUGGAUCGGGAGCGCUCAGAGAUGGGUGUGCCUCUUUUGGGGUCGGUUCACAGGUGGUGCAUGGCUGUCGUCAGCUCGUGUCGUGAGAUGUUGGGUUAAGUCCCGCAACGAGCGCAACCCUUGUUCACUGUUGCCAGCACGUUAUGGUGGGGACUCAGUGGAGACCGCCGGGGUCAACUCGGAGGAAGGUGGGGAUGACGUCAAGUCAUCAUGCCCCUUAUGUCCAGGGCUUCACGCAUGCUACAAUGGCUGGUACAGAGAGUGGCGAGCCUGUGAGGGUGAGCGAAUCUCGGAAAGCCGGUCUCAGUUCGGAUUGGGGUCUGCAACUCGACCUCAUGAAGUCGGAGUCGCUAGUAAUCGCAGAUCAGCAACGCUGCGGUGAAUACGUUCCCGGG
rnacentral:rRNA from 1 species